rnacentral:ncRNA from 1 species
GGAAGCCGGUGGGAAUCCGGCGCGGUCGCGCCACUGUGGAACGACGUCCGGCCCUCACCGGCCGACGUCGUCGAGCCAGAC